CAUAGAUAAUUAUUUUCCUGCAGGGCACCAUUAGAUGGAAAUAGAAAAGUAGAUAACAUGUAUAUUUGAGAAAUGUAUUAUAUGUUCAAACUUUGUUUGUUAUUUUAAUCACACAGAUCCACGUAUCUAUCUAUUUGCAACAUAUUAAUGUCCCCGUUGCUCAUACAAUGCCGAUGAGUCGCACAAGGUACAGAACCAUAUAGCAAAAGCUGCUAUGGCUCAACAUAACGGUGCAAAGGAUAUCGGCAAUCUUACAGAUGCCUUUGAAUGGACUUGAAGCUGUACUCCAGGAGGUAGUACUAGCACAGGGAGACAAAGCUUACCUCACCCUGGCAUGCCAAGACACACCUUUGCAUCGACCUUCAAGUGCUUUGAAGCCAUUGUGUCUGACCCAGUUUCCGGGAAGAAGACUCACUUUGCUUGGCUGGAUUGUGAGAUCCACUGGGGUAAAUUGUCAGAGUCAUUCAAAGCAGAAAAUCGGAUUCCUUUUGGGGUCGAAACGUGUUCUUCCUGCAACCGGCAAUAUAAAGACUGUGUGGGCUUCACCGGAAAUGGAAGACGAAGAGAGUACCCUCGUUACUACUCUGAUGACAUACCCGGACACUGCCCUGAAUGUUAAUACUGAAUGCAAGAAGAAUAUUAGUUGUUUUCCAUUCUUUUACACAUUUCAGUUGUCACAUAUUGUUGUUCGUUU